rnacentral:rRNA from 1 species
UACGGAGGGUGCGAGCGUUAAUCGGAAUUACUGGGCGUAAAGGGUGCGUAGGUGGUUAAUUAAGUUAGAUGUAAAAACCCUGGGCUUAACCUAGGACUGAGAUUUAAUACUGAUUAACUGGAGUAUGGGAGAGGGUAGUGGAAUUUCCGGUGUAGCGGUGAAAUGCGUAGAGAUCGGAAGGAACACCAGUGGCGAAGGCGGCUACCUGGCCUAAUACUGACACUGAAGCACGAAAGCGUGGGGAGCAAACAGG